rnacentral:lncRNA from 1 species
UCAUAUCGAUCCUCACAAUAUAGAUAUUGGGGGCCUAUGGAGAGAGUCACUGUAGAGAGUCAUCAUGGAAGUGGUAAGAGGAGAGCUUUGGUUGAAGCUAUGGUACAGUUGGAUUGUGGGAGAGGAAUAAGAGCACAGGCUGUGGAGUAGAAAAGGAAGAACAAUGAGUAGAGAUGGGAGGAGGGCAAGAGCACAGACUGUGGAGCAGAGAAGAGAGAGGGCA